rnacentral:rRNA from 1 species
CCUACGGGAGGCAGCAGUGGGGAAUAUUGGACAAUGGGGGGAACCCUGAUCCAGCCAUGCCGCGUGUGUGAAGAAGGCCCUCGGGUUGUAAAGCACUUUCAGUGAGGAAGAACGCCUGGUGGUUAAUACCCAUCAGGAAAGACAUCACUCACAGAAGAAGCACCGGCUAACUCCGUGCCAGCAGCCGCGGUAAUACGGAGGGUGCGAGCGUUAAUCGGAAUUACUGGGCGUAAAGCGCGCGUAGGUGGCUUGAUAAGCCGGUUGUGAAAGCCCCGGGCUCAACCUGGGAACGGCAUCCAGAACUGUCAAGCUAGAGUGCAGGAGAGGAAGGUAGAAUUCCCGGUGUAGCGGUGAAAUGCGUAGAGAUCGGGAGGAAUACCAGUGGCGAAGGCGGCCUUCUGGACUGACACUGACACUGAGGUGCGAAAGCGUGGGUAGCAAACAGGAUUAGAUACCCCAGUAGUC